rnacentral:piRNA from 1 species
UCUGGUCUCUGAUUAUUGGAG